CCAUUCACUGUGUUAACCUUUACUAUGGGGCGGCUGUGGCUCAGGAAGUAGAGCAGGUCGUCCACUAAGCGGAAGAUAGGUGGUUCCAUUCCAGGCUCCUCCAGUCCACAUGUUGAGGUGUCCUUGGCCUUGGGUCCUUGGGUGCUGACGUGCUACGGCAGUCCCAGGUAAGUCCUGGUGCUUUAGUAGUACUGCAUGGGGCGGGAAGGCCCUGGGGUAGAGCCUCAGGCAAUGGCGUUGGCCCAGCCACUCUCCAGAGACUGCUCUGGCUCAACUGGUCCGUCAAUCUUCAGAGACAAAUAUAAGUACUCCAGUCUUCAUCAGCAGCUGCUUUCUCUCUCUCUUCUGCUUUCUCUCAUAUUCUGUUCCUAUCUCACUUUGCCCACGUAUUCAAUCCAAAAUGGUUUACACCCUACAAGUUCUGUAUGUGGGCGUGACAUUGUGCAAGUGGGGUCAAGAGGUCAACAGUGGAGGCGGCCAGAAGAUGUCUUUCAUGACUUCACUGAUGCAAAUACCUCUCACCAAACAAACACAGAGGAGAGAGGAGAGGGGGGACAUGAUCAGAAAUGAAGCUCCCUCAGCCUCUGCAGGCCUCUGAGGGCCACCUUGGCCUUUCAGGCUGGGGCUUGCCAGGGUAUUAGGGGUGUCAGGUUCAGUGACGGGAUGGUGAACAGUAAUUAUAGCAAGGCCCCGGCCCCUGUCCAGAUCCCCUGGUGUCAGGAGGAGAGCGCUGGAUUGGCAGGAGGAGCUCCAGGCCUGGAGUCUCCAGAGGACCCAUUAAGACGGAGGCCCAGCGUCCUGAUCAAGCCAACCCCUGUGCUCUUUGACUGCACAAUUACAGCUAGGCCCGCUCAUUUGCGGAGCUCACUGUUGUUGUUAGCGUCACCUCAGUCCAUAGCCUCCUUAAUAACGCACUCAGUAGUGCUUGCAGACCCACAGUCAGCACAGUGAGACGUGCAGGGUGAGUUAAUGAUGAGGGUUACGAUUUCCGUGUGAUGUUACAUGAUCUGAUUGGUAGAGAGAGCCUGACCUUGUGGUGCACUGGACCUAUUAUUGAAAAAACAAGAAGUCUGCAGGAUUUGUAAUUGCCUAGAGUUUAUAUGGAUAGUUUGGGUUAAUAUUUGAUUCUAGUCACAUUCUGGAUGUCUUGCUACUGAAAUAAAGAAAGAGGUUUAUUCUGGGGGUUGGGGUGUUUUCUUUUUAUUGUUUGGCUAUAUACUUUUGUAUGUUUGUUCAUAAGUACAUACACAAUUUGGCCAAAAUUAUGUCAACCCAGUCUCACAUCAAAAUGUGUAAUAGCUACAUUGGUCCACAGUGCAAAAUGUAUUAGUUUCACAAUAACGGCUCUAAAAUUCUGAAAUGUCUGUGGUUUUUUUGACCUGUUCUUUUCUAAUGGCCUGCGUCCACAUUACAUCACUGUGAAGUUUCUGUCUGUCAAAAAAAAAAAAAAAAGGCUGACAUUCCUUUUAUUCUCAGUGGA